rnacentral:rRNA from 1 species
CCUACGGGAGGCAGCAGUGAGGAAUAUUGGUCAAUGGACGAGAGUCUGAACCAGCCAAGUAGCGUGAAGGAUGACUGCCCUAUGGGUUGUAAACUUCUUUUAUAUGGGAAUAAAACGUUCCACGUGUGGGAUUUUGUAUGUACCAUAUGAAUAAGGAUCGGCUAACUCCGUGCCAGCAGCCGCGGUAAUACGGAGGAUCCGAGCGUUAUCCGGAUUUAUUGGGUUUAAAGGGAGCGUAGGUGGAUUGUUAAGUCAGUUGUGAAAGUUUGCGGCUCAACCGUAAAAUUGCAGUUGAAACUGGCAGUCUUGAGUACAGUAGAGGUGGGCGGAAUUCGUGGUGUAGCGGUGAAAUGCUUAGAUAUCACGAGGAACUCCGAUUGCGAAGGCAGUUCACUGGACUGCAACUGACACUGAGGCUCGAAAGUGUGGGUAUCAAACAGGAUUAGAUACCCCAGUAGUC